AACGAACGCUGGCGGCAUGCCUAACACAUGCAAGUCGAACGAGACCUUCGGGUCUAGUGGCGCACGGGUUCGUAACGCGUGGGAACCUUCCCUUAGGUUCGGAAUAACUCCCCGAAAGGGGUGCUAAUACCGGAUAAUGUCUUCGGACCAAAGAUUUAUCGCCUUUGGAUGGGCCCGCGUUGGAUUAGCUAGUUGUUAGGGUAAAAGCCUACCAAGGCGACGAUCCAUAGCUGGUCUGAGAGGAUGAUCAGCCACACUGGGACUGAGACACGGCCCAGAAUACUACGGGAGGCAGCAGUGGGGAAUAUUGGACAAUGGGCGAAAGCCUGAUCCAGCAAUGCCGCGUGAGUGAUGAAGGCCUUAGGGUUGUAAAGCUCUUUUACCCGGGAUGAUAAUGACAGUACCGGGAGAAUAAGCUCCGGCUAACUCCGUG
rnacentral:rRNA from 1 species